GCCCAGGUGGUGAAAUGGCAGACACGCCAGCCUUAGGAGCUGGUGGGAGCAAUCCCUUGGAGGUUCAAGUCCUCUCCUGGGCACCA
rnacentral:tRNA from 2 species